AUUUUGGUGAGGAUAAGUGAAGAGAGCCUCAGAGCACAUCUAAGGAUCAGCAGAAGCCAGAUAGAGCAUGGGAACCUGGGAUGUUCACACAGAGUAUAGGACACACUUAGUGUCUGACACACCAUCAGCAGCCAGGAGCAGCUCAGAAAAAGGGAGCCUCCUCCCUGUGUGGACUAAUCAAGCAAGAGGACCCCAGCAGCUCCCACCCAAACCUUGGACACCUUCCAUACUCACUACUAGGACUCUUGUAUUCUCACGCCACUCAGCUCCCCUGAGGGGACUGCCUGGAGUCCACACAUCUGAGCUCCAGAAGAGAAGGAGGUGACGGUGUACCCCACUCCUGUGGCCAGCACAGCUAUUAGACCAUGGCACCUGGGGACUGGAAAUACUGCUGCAUUGUGUCUUGCUCAGGUGACAAACAGCCAUGGCACCCCACCUUCCCUGAGACUUAGGCACUGCUAAAUCACCCACACUUGGUGGCCUGCCACUCCUGAGCUCAGCCCCUGUCACAGCCUACCCCAUGGGGCCAGGCUGCAGUGAAGCCACACAUCAGUGCUCCCAGUCUCUGGUGCACCCUGCCCUCAUGGCCUGGGCUGGGACUGUAGGCUGCCUCCUGGAAGAGGCAUCUGAGUGCCCACAGCAGUCAUAACCCACGUCUGACUGAAGUUUCACAUCACUUCUUGGGACCUAGCUGAGCAGCCAGACUUGCAAGGGCUGAGAUGAAUGUAGUGCCAUGGGUUCAGAAAACAGAGCAUUGGCUGAGCUGCGUCCUCACCCUACAGGUCAGAAAACCCUACAACCUUGGGUAAGACCCAGGACCCUGCAAUGCUGGAACUGUGUGAGCUUCCUAGACCUUCCAGUCCUAGAACUGGAUAGGCCUCUGUGGGGGGCUGUUGCAUUUUCCUUCCCUGAUUGGUUGUGGCUCUGUCAGUCACUUCCAGUGAUUUGGUCACAUUCAAAGAGGCCCUAGAUGGCUGCCCUGAUCCUGGAAGUAGCAGAAUGUGUCUUCAUGCUUAGGUGUGCCUUCCUAUAACCCAAGGGGUCGAAUUACCUUACUUGUCCUUGUAACCCUGCCCCUCUUGGCCUUUUUUGGAUGGAAUUUUCUAAAAAAUGAGGGUCUCCCCAGUAAAAGUCCACUCUUAGACAUGCUCACUCUCACUAGCCCCUCAUGACAUUCCUUGAUCUCCCAUUUGGGGAGCUUGAGGCAGAGGGGCUGUCCUGGGUGUUUUAUUUGGUAUCCUAGGAAAUUCACUUGAGCAGCCUUUGGUUUGGCUGCCUGCACUGCUGGGGGCGACAGGCCUCCCAAGAUUCUGCAGUCGUGGAACUAGAUAAGAAUCCUAGACCCUACAAUGGAGUGAUCUACCAGAACCCUGUAGUUCUGGAACUGGGUGAGUUUUCUGGACCCCCCCCCAUUCCUGGAACUGGGCGACCCCCAAGCUGCUGAGCUGCUGAGCCACUCCACUUCCUAGAGAGGAGUCAUUAUAUAUAUUUGUUUCCUUUCCCCUUUGAAGUGCAGCACUGUGGGAGUCCAUCCUUGAAUGUGACUGAGUUUACUCCCUGGCUAGGUGUGAGGUGCUCAGACACUUUUAAUGUGGCAGAGCUCUCCCCACCCUUCUUGGGUUUGAGAGCUUUUCUGUGUGUCUCAUCACUGCCCCAAAGAUCCAAUCAUCGCACCUGACCUUGCCACAUUGCCCCCCCUUGACCUUCAAUGGAUGAAAUUUUCCCCAGAAUUUUUUGUUCCCCAAUAAAGCCCUCUCCUUAGUGUGUUCUCUCUCUCUCUCUCUCUCUCUCUCUCUCUCUCUCUCUCUCUCUCUCUCUCUCUCCCCUCUUCAGUAAAACCUAACUGCCCCCCUGGGGAGCUUGAGGCUGAGGGUUCAAGGAGCCAUCCCAGAGCUGGUUUAAAGAUAAAAUGGUGUCUCUGUCUUUAAUUUAAAUUCCCUGAGGAUUUUCCCACGUGACCAAACUGUUGACACCAUCUGCACUGGCCCUGAACUAAACAGCACCACAAACUCUUCUUGCAAUCACAGAAUGAGAAAGGGCCGACUCUUAUGUAGAUCAACUAGGAGUUCCUUUGAGUUUGUUGAGAUGAAAAGUGCUGAGAACAGUAACUCACCUAAUAAAUUCUCAGUACACUUCACCAUCACCUGGUUAACAUCAAUAUUUCUUAUUGUGUACUAUAUAUCCUGAGAUAGUGGAACUGUGUGCCUUGUCAGUGGUCUGACGGCUUUCCAACAGCCCUGUUCAUAGCCGAUGGUCCUCAUCCCUGCCACCUGCUCCUUCUCCCACAUCCUUGGGCAGUGGUUUGUAGACAGGUCCACACCAGCAU
rnacentral:lncRNA from 1 species